rnacentral:lncRNA from 1 species
GCAUCUUAGGAAGAGUGUUUUCCCAACACAUGCUUUAAUCUAUUGGGUUUUUAUGCUGAUCUUGGACUCGAUUUGAUUGUGGUGAAUGGCUUAAAUUUCAACAAAACCUCGACCUAAGAUUCUGUCCAGCCUUAUCUCCAUUAUCUUCUUGUGCAGGGUCUUCCUUGUUCUGCAAGAAGUUAAAAAAGCAUUGUAUAGAAACGGCUAUACCCACAUUCUCAUUCAAAUGGGUCAUGGAUCCUACAUCUCCACGAAGGUAAUUUUUUUUUUUUGGUGUUCUGUUAAUUAAUUUGUUGAUCCUGGCGUUUAAAGUAUGAUGUCAAGUAUUCAGUAUCUAAUCUGAUUUUAAGUGAAGCAAUCUUCGCCAUCCUGGUCCACUUCGGGGAAGAAAAAGGCAAGAUAAGGGUUUUAUUCCAGGCUCCUGAUAUAGCUCUGGAAUUUUAGUCGCUAGACGAUGAAAUCAUGAAGAUAAGAGGUACAUAAGUGAAACAAAUAUGCGGACUGCCUUUUAGUUAUGUCCACUUAAUUUGGGACUUCAAUCAUAAUUCAUUAGUUUAUAGAAUUGAAAUUGAUGGUUUAUUUGUAGUGAUAAAAGUAGCAUCAAUGAACAUGCGGUCUGAUCCUUGUCCUUUAAUACAAUGGUAAUCAUUGAAUUUAGAGUCAUCAAAUGCUUCACGGUUGAAUACUCAUUAUAAAAAUGCAAACUUGAAUACGAGGCUAUGUUUCAAUGGCUCCACCUAGAUACAAUUUGUAGCCUAAUUGUUUAUUGUAACUGCCUUCUUGGUCCUUACUUUUAACUUAAAAGUUUAAAAUCUCAUCAACUUUAUAUUUUCUAAUGCUUAAUCAAUUCUGACCUUUCCUAUGUUGUUUGUCAGACAAAUCACCACUGUCUUCGUGGAACUUAAGUGAAU